rnacentral:rRNA from 1 species
GACGAACGCUGGCGGCGUGCCUAAUACAUGCAAGUAGAACGCUGAAGAGAGGAGCUUGCUCUUCUUGGAUGAGUUGCGAACGGGUGAGUAACGCGUAGGUAACCUGCCUUGUAGCGGGGGAUAACUAUUGGAAACGAUAGCUAAUACCGCAUAACAAUGGAUGACACAUGUCAUUUAUUUGAAAGGGGCAAUUGCUCCACUACAAGAUGGACCUGCGUUGUAUUAGCUAGUAGGUGAGGUAACGGCUCACCUAGGCGACGAUACAUAGCCGACCUGAGAGGGUGAUCGGCCACACUGGGACUGAGACACGGCCCAGACUCCUACGGGAGGCAGCAGUAGGGAAUCUUCGGCAAUGGGGGCAACCCUGACCGAGCAACGCCGCGUGAGUGAAGAAGGUUUUCGGAUCGUAAAGCUCUGUUGUAAGUCAAGAACGAGUGUGAGAGUGGAAAGUUCACACUGUGACGGUAGCUUACCAGAAAGGGACGGCUAACUACGUGCCAGCAGCCGCGGUAAUACGUAGGUCCCGAGCGUUGUCCGGAUUUAUUGGGCGUAAAGCGAGCGCAGGCGGUUUGAUAAGUCUGAAGUUAAAGGCUGUGGCUCAACCAUAGUUCGCUUUGGAAACUGUCAAACUUGAGUGCAGAAGGGGAGAGUGGAAUUCCAUGUGUAGCGGUGAAAUGCGUAGAUAUAUGGAGGAACACCGGUGGCGAAAGCGGCUCUCUGGUCUGUAACUGACGCUGAGGCUCGAAAGCGUGGGAGCGAACAGG